CCAGACUCCUACGGGAGGCAGCAGUGGGGAAUAUUGCACAAUGGGCGAAACCCUGAUGCAGCGACGCCGCGUGAGUGAGGAAGUAUUUCGGUAUGUAAAGCUCUAUCAGCAGGGAAGAAAAAAUGACGGUACCUGACUAAGAAGCACCGGCUAAAUACGUGCCAGCAGCCGCGGUAAUACGUAUGGUGCAAGCGUUAUCCGGAUUUACUGGGUGUAAAGGGAGCGCAGGCGGUACGGCAAGUCUGAUGUGAAAGCCCGGGGCUCAACCCCGGUACUGCAUUGGAAACUACCGGACUGGAGUGUCGGAGGGGUAAGUGGAAUUCCUAGUGUAGCGGUGAAAUGCGUAGAUAUUAGGAGGAACACCAGUGGCGAAGGCGGCUUACUGGACGAUCACUGACGCUGAGGCUCGAAAGCGUGGGGAGCAAACAGGAUUAGAUACCCCCGUA
rnacentral:rRNA from 1 species